rnacentral:rRNA from 1 species
GACGUAGGGUGCGAGCGUUGUCCGGAUUUAUUGGGCGUAAAGAGCUCGUAGGCGGCUCGUCGCGUCGACCGUGAAAACCCGCAGCUUAACUGCGGGCUUGCGGUUGAUACGGGCGGGCUAGAGUUCGGUAGGGGAGACUGGAAUUCCUGGUGUAGCGGUGAAAUGCGCAGAUAUCAGGAAGAACACCCGUGGCGAAGGCGGUUCUCUGGAACGCAACUGACGCUGAGACGCGAAAGCGUGGGGAGCAAACAGG